rnacentral:rRNA from 1 species
AUUGAACGCUGGCGGCAUGCUUUACACAUGCAAGUCGAACGGUAACAGGCCGCAAGGUGCUGACGAGUGGCGAACGGGUGAGUAAUGCAUCGGAACGUGCCCAGUCGUGGGGGAUAACGCAGCGAAAGCUGCGCUAAUACCGCAUACGAUCUAUGGAUGAAAGCGGGGGACCGUAAGGCCUCGCGCGAUUGGAGCGGCCGAUGUCAGAUGAGGUAGUUGGUGGGGUAAAGGCUCACCAAGCCGACGAUCUGUAGCUGGUCUGAGAGGACGACCAGCCACACUGGGACUGAGACACGGCCCAGACUCCUACGGGAGGCAGCAGUGGGGAAUUUUGGACAAUGGGCGCAAGCCUGAUCCAGCAAUGCCGCGUGCAGGAAGAAGGCCUUCGGGUUGUUAACUGCUUUUGUACGGAACGAAACGGCUCUGGUUAAUACCUGGGGCUAAUGACGGUACCGUAAGAAUAAGCACCGGCUAACUACGUGCCAGCAGCCGCAGUAAAAC